CAUCCGUCUUCUCUCUUUUUGUCACUCUCAGAACUCUCUCUGUAACUCACGCUCUCGGCUCUCCCUCUACUUAUUCUCAAAUUGGAACCAAACUGACAUUCUCAUCACCCACUUUUCUCAAAUUGACAGAUUGCAACAUUCGUGAUUCUCCCGAUUGCACACCGUCUCCAUCAUCUCCCUACCGUAGCUGAGCAGCGCCGCGCAACAGGCCACCGUCUCCAUCACACUGCAAACUAGCCGCUUCAAGUGAGACCGUUCUACGCUGUACGUCGCCGCUACAGGCGCUCAGCUCCUCCGCCGGCAACGCUGUUUUUCACACCUAACACUCUACGUCGAAGACAAACGCUCUAAACUAUUAAUUUUUUGUUUCUCGUCAAUAACCGUCUUUUGGAGCACUCGUUGAUUGAUUUCGUUUUCUACAACAAUGGAAGAAGGGUUUGAUUGUUUGGCGCAAGUUAAAUUUAUUCCCCAAGGGUUUAGCAAUCCUUGGGGCUAGGGUGUAGUAUGGUGUACGUAACACAAUCGUCACCACAACCCACGAGUUUCAUUCAUUCCUCUAGGGUUUAGUUUUUCAUCUCGGCUGGGGAGUAGUAUUCAGUAAUAGAUAUAAUGUACAAAUAUUUCAGUGUAAUGUAUUUUUUCCAAUCAGUAAUGUACGAUGUAUGUACUGUAAUGUAUAUUUUUCGUAGAUGUUUGAACUGGUAAAAGUAAUGUACGUAUAGUACUGUGUAAUGGUUAUUAUGCACUCAGUAAUGGAUGAUUUCUCUUCUUUAAUGUA